rnacentral:rRNA from 1 species
UACGGUAGGGUGCAAGCGUUAAUCGGAAUUACUGGGCGUAAAGCGCACGUAGGCGGAUAUUUAAGUCAGGGGUGAAAUCCCAGAGCUCAACUCUGGAACUGCCUUUGAUACUGGGUAUCUUGAGUUCGGAAGAGGUGAGUGGAAAUUGCGAGUGUAGAGGUGAAAUUCGUAGAUAUUCGCAGGAACACCAGUGGCGAAGGCGGCUCACUGGUCCGAUACUGACGCUGAGGUGCGAAAGCGUGGGGAGCAAACAGG